rnacentral:tRNA from 13 species
GCCCGUCUAGCUCAGUCGGUAGAGCAUGAGACUCUUAAUCUCAGGGUCGUGGGUUCGAACCCUACGUUGGGCG